rnacentral:rRNA from 1 species
GACGAACGCUGGCGGCGUGCUUAACACAUGCAAGUCGAACGGAAAGGCCCUGCUUUUGUUGGGUGCUCGAGUGGCGAACGGGUGAGUAACACGUGAGUAACCUGCCCUUGACUUUGGGAUAACUUUAGGAAACUGGGGCUAAUACCGGAUAGGAGCUCCUGCUGCAUGGUGGGGGUUGGAAAGUUUCGGCGGUUGGGGAUGGACUCGCGGCUUAUCAGCUUGUUGGUGGGGUAGUGGCUUACCAAGGCUUUGACGGGUAGCCGGCCUGAGAGGGUGACCGGCAAAAUUGGGACUGAGAUACGGCCAAGACUCCUACGGGAGGAAGAAGUGGGGAAAAUUGAAAAAGGGGCGGAAGCCUGAUGCAGCAACGCCGCGUGCGGGAUGACGGCCUUCGGGUUGUAAACCGCUUUCGCAUGUGAGGAAGCGUGAGUGACGGUAAUGGGUAAAGAAGCACCGGCUAACUACGUG